rnacentral:rRNA from 1 species
UUUGUUUGGUGGCGAUAGCGAAGAGGUCACACCCGUUCCCAUACCGAACACGGAAGUUAAGCUCUUCAGCGCCGAUGGUAGUCGGGGGUUUCCCCCUGUGAGAGUAGGACGCCGCCAAGCUUU